GAUCAGUAGCUGGUCCGAGAGGAUGAUCAGCCACACUGGGACUGAGACAUGGCCCAGACUCCUACGGGAGGCAACAGUGGGGAAUUUUCUGCAAUGGGCGAAAGCCUGAUGGAGAAAUGUCGCGUGAAGGCAGAAGGCCCAUGGGUCAUGAACUUCUUUUCUCGGAGAAGAAACAAUGACGAUAUCUGAGGAAUAAGCAUCGGCUAACUCUGUGCCAGCAGCCGCGGUAAUACAAAGGAUGCAAGCGUUAUCCAUAAUGAUUGGGCGUAAAGCGUCUAUAGGUGGCUUUUCAAGUCCGUCGUCAAAUCCCAGGGCUCAACCCUGGACAGGCGGUGGAAACAACCAAGCUGGAGUACGGUAGGGGCAGAGGGAAUUUCCGGUGGAGCGGUGAAAUGCGUUGAGAUCGGAAAGAACACCAACGACGAAAGCACUCUGCUGGGCCGACACUAACACUGAGAGAUGAAAGCUAGGGGAGCAAAUGGGAUUAGAUACCCCAAUAGUACUAGCCGUAAACGAUGGAUACUAAGUGUUGUGUGUAUCGACCUGCGCAGUGCUGUAGCUAACGCGUUAAGUAUCCCGCCUGGGGAGUACGUUCGCAAGAAUGAAACUCAAAGGAAUUGAUGGGGGCCCGCA
rfam:Picea glauca, whole genome shotgun sequence.